GCUCUCGGAGAAAGAGCGUGGGUAUGAGUCAUACGCAAAGGACCGUGGGACGCAGAAAUUGGCAAUGCACAAAAAGGGACAAUGGCCUUCUAAGUAGAGAAUUACUGGCCUCAAAGUAAUGGCCGCUCAGCUUGCUUUAAGUUCUUCUGACUCUUCUAGAUCCACCUUUUACGUCUCAUUCCCCAUCAACAUACAAACCAAUGGGAGUCGAACAUUUCUCCCUCUAUAUCAAAAAAAAAAAAAAAAAAAAAAAGAGGGAGUUCCCGAGUGGUCCAGUGGUUAGGACUUAAUGUUUUUACUGCUGCGACCUGGGUUCAACCCCUGGUCUGGGAACUGAGAUCCCACAUCAAGCUGCUGCAUGCUACAGCCAAAAUAUAUAUAUAUACGAGUACAAGAAACUACAGGGAAAAAAAAGGAAUUUGAUAAAUACCUAUCUUGGAUGUAUCAUUUAAACUGCUCUGGCUUUUUUCAGAAAACUUAGCAAAGUUAAAAACGAGUGUAUCCAAGUGAGGCUCCCACCCUCCCCCAGAGACCAGCAGAAGGGGCUCUGUCCUCAGAUGUUGCUGGAAUGACCUGUAAAUUCCUUUGGCAGCCUUGAGUUUUCUCAGGAAGGCACUUUGAGCAGGGCCUGGGGUCAGCCUAAGGCAGUGGCCUUGAGCUCUUAGAAACGAUGUUAGUGUUUGUUCAAGUCUUUUUUUUUUUUUUUUUCCUUUGGCUUUUUAGGGCCAUACUGCAGCAUAUGGAAGUUCCCAAUUGGAGCUGCAGCUGCUGGCCUACACCACAGCUCACGGCAACGCUGAAUCCUUGACCAGAUCGAAAGUGUAUCCUUAUGGAUACUAGCCAGGUUUGUUUCCACCGAGCCACAGGGGGAACCCCAGAUGCGUUGUCUUGUCUCUGAUGACUUUCCAGGUUCAGGUCCAGGUCCCCGUCCUUUAAGGGACCCACAUCUAUUGUGUUGUUCUUGGGAUCCCUGAGAUGCCUCUGUCUCCUUCUUUAAGCAAAUUGUCUGGAAUUCUGUCCUCAAAAGAAUCCAAUCCCUAACUAGGACAACAAAAUCACAUUACCUGCACCAACACAGGCCACAUACUUGUCGUUCUUACUGGUUCAGUGGCCAUUCCUUCAUGUUAAUAUCUCAUACGCUAUUUUGCAAUGACUUGGGUCAUUUCCAGUUGUUAAUGCUUAUGGAUAGACCUACAAGGAACAUAUGAAAGAGUUAUUUUUCCUCCUUAAAUAAGGUCAAAAGGUGUGCUGAGUUUAGAGCUCUCGUUAGAUUGCUGCCGGAUUCCUCUCUGGCUGAAGUGCCACCAGCCACAUUUCAGGGCUUCAGCUUUCCCACAGCCCCCUCUAAACAGUUUCAUUUUUAUUUAUUUUGGUUUGUGUAAAGAUGCCUUGGAAUGGUUUCAUUGUUAUUUUAAAAUUGCUGAUGUGGUUUGAUGAGAACUAAUUUAGAUAACAUGUACCCAGACCCUAACACAGAGCCUGGCAUAUAGUAAGCUAUUAUUAUUGUUGUUGUUCUCAUCCUCACCUACUUGAGAUUUUCUUUAUGUGUUUGUGGCAAGGGUUGUUUCUCCUUUUAGCUACAAAACAGGUCCUUCCCAGUCUGCGUGCUGCCUCCUGGCUCCAGCCUCUGGUCUCGUCUCUUUUCUCACACUGGCAGUGAGUUCAUCAAGGCUCAUGUCUUUUCUCUUCUCUGUCCUUUUCUUUUUUAUGCCCACGCCUACAGCACAUGGAGGUUUCCAGGCUAGGGGUUGAAUUGGAGCUGCAGCCAGUCUACACCACAGCCACUCAGUGUUGGAAUCCGAGCCACAUCUGCGACCUAUAGCGCAGCUCACAAAACGCUGGAUCCUCAACCCACUGAGUGUGCGAGGCCAGGGAUGGAACCCGCAUCUUCAUGGAUACUAGUCAGGCUCCUAACCCACUGAGCCACAACGGGAGCUCCUGGGCUCAUGUCUUUAAUACCACCUCUAUGCUGGCAGCUCACGUCCAUACCUGGAGUCUAGUCCUCUCUCCUCUACUCCACGCAUGUCUCACUGCCUAUUCAACAGCUCCACUCGGAUGUGGCAUCUCAAAUCCAGCCCCUACACCUGACUUCCUGCUCCCACAUCUCAUCGAAUGGCAACACCAUCCUCCCAGGUGCUCAAGUUAAAACCUUUGCAUCUUCCUUGACUCCAAUUUUUCUCUCACACUCCACAUCCAGUCUCUAAAUCCCCUGAGCACUAUCUUCAAAAUAUACCCAGAACUGGCCCUAGAA
rnacentral:lncRNA from 1 species